UAGCUCAGUUGGUAGAGCGCUCCACUGGAAAUGGAGAGGUCCCUGGUUCGAUACCAUGCACCAGG
rnacentral:tRNA from 1 species